GAUGAACGCUAGCGGCAGGCCUAAUACAUGCAAGUCGGACGGGAUUGGAGAGCUUGCUUUCCAUGAGAGUGGCGCACGGGUGCGUAACACGUAUGUAACCUACCUUAAUCUGGGGGAUAGCCUCUCGAAAGAGAGAUUAACACCGCAUAACAUUACCGGACAGCAUUUUUUGGUAAUCAAAUAUUUAUAGGAUUAAGAUGGGCAUGCGGAACAUUAGCUAGUUGGUAAGGUAACGGCUUACCAAGGCUACGAUGUUUAGGGGAUCUGAGAGGAUGACCCCCCACACUGGUACUGAGACACGGACCAGACUCCUACGGGAGGCAGCAGUAAGGAAUAUUGGUCAAUGGGCGCAAGCCUGAACCAGCCAUGCCGCGUGCAGGAAGACGGCCCUACGGGUUGUAAACUGCUUUUGUACCGGAAUAAACCCUUUUACGUGUAAGAGGCUGAAUGUACGGUAAGAAUAAGGAUCGGCUAACUCCGUGCCAGCAGCCGCAGUAA
rnacentral:rRNA from 1 species